AAGUGUGGACGCCAGUCUGCAUGGAGCCGACCUUGAAAUACCACCCUUUAAUGUUUGAUGUUCUAACGUGGACCCGUUACCCGGGUUGCGGACAGUGUCUGGUGGGUAGUUUGACUGGGGCGGUCUCCUCCUAAAGAGUAACGGAGGAGCACGAAGGUUGGCUAAUCCUGGUCGGACAUCAGGAGGUUAGUGCAAUGGCAUAAGCCAGCUUGACUGCGAGCGUGACGGCGCGAGCAGGUGCGAAAGCAGGUCAUAGUGAUCCGGUGGUUCUGAAUGGAAGGGCCAUCGCUCAACGGAUAAAAGGUACUCCGGGGAUAACAGGCUGAUACCGCCCAAGAGUUCAUAUCGACGGCGGUGUUUGGCACCUCGAUGUCGGCUCAUCACAUCCUGGGGCUGAAGUAGGUCCCAAGGGUAUGGCUGUUCGCCAUUUAAAGUGGUACGCGAGCUGGGUUUAGAACGUCGUGAGACAGUUCGGUCCCUAUCUGCCGUGGGCGCUGGAGAACUGAGGGGGGCUGCUCCUAGUACGAGAGGACCGGAGUGGACGCAUCACUGGUGUUCGGGUUGUCAUGCCAAUGGCACUGCCCGGUAGCUAAAUGCGGAAGAGAUAAGUGCUGAAAGCAUCUAAGCACGAAACUUGCCCCGAGAUGAGUUCUCCCUGAGACUUAGAGUCUCCUGAAGGAACGUUGAAGACGACGACGUUGAUAGGCCGGGUGUGUAAGCGCAGCGAUGCGUUGAGCUAACCGGUACUAAUGAACCGUGAGGCUUAACCUUACAACGCCGAAG
rnacentral:rRNA from 1 species